UAUCUCUGUAGAGUCUGCAUAUCAAUAAGCGGAGGAAAAGAAACUAACUAGGAUUCCCUUAGUAACGGCGAAGUGAAGCGGGAAGAGCUCAAAUUUGAAAUCUUCAAGGUCUUACCUUGACGAAUUGUAGUUUAAAGAAGUGUUUUCUGUUGAGUGUUUCGGUAAAAGUUCUUUGGAAUAGGACAUCAUAGAGGGUGAGAAUCCCGUAUUUGACCAUUAUUUCAGCUGUGUGAUACACUUUCAAAGAGUCGGAUUGUUUGGGAAUGCAGUCCAAAAUGGGUGGUAAAUUUCAUCUAAAGCUAAAUAUUGGCGAGAGACCGAUAGCGAACAAGUACCGUGAGGGAAAGAUGAAAAGAACUUUGAAAAGAGAGUUAAACAGUACGUGAAAUUGUCAAAAGGGAAGCGUUUGACACCAGUGUUGUUUUCUCGAAAAUCAAUUAAAAAUGGCUUGAUUUUGUGUUGUAUUGACCUUAAAAGCUUUCUUCACUUUUUUCAUGUCUUUUUUAAUGCACUUUUCGUUUAACAAGUCAACAUCAGUUUCUUUUGUUGUAAAAAGGUCAUUGGAAGGUGGCUUUCUUUUCGGAGAAAGUGUUUAUAGCCUUUGACUUCUGCAAUCGGAGAGACUGAGGUCUGCAGCGUAGAUCCUUCUGGAUUAGAUUCAUUUGUGCUAAGUUACAACCGUUUAUAGACAACUUGUUGACUAUAUUCGAUCCUGUAGCUUACUCGCUUAUGUAAUUUUACCUACGCUUAGGAUGUUGAUAUGCAUGACUGAUAU
rnacentral:rRNA from 1 species